rnacentral:rRNA from 1 species
UACGAAGGGGGGUAGCGUUGCUCGGAAUCACUGGGCGUAAAGCGCACGUAGGCGGCUUCUUAAGUCACGGGUGAAAUCCUGGGGCUCAACCCCAGAACUGCCCUUGAUACUGAGGAGCUUGAGUCCGGGAGAGGUGAGUGGAACUCCGAGUGUAGAGGUGAAAUUCGUAGAUAUUCGGAAGAACACCAGUGGCGAAGGCGGCUCACUGGCCCGGUACUGACGCUGAGGUGCCAAAGCGUGGGGAGCAAACAGG